rnacentral:rRNA from 1 species
GAUGAACGCUGGCGGCGUGCCUAAUACAUGCAAGUCGAGCGAAUGGAUUAAGAGCUUGCUCUUAUGAAGUUAGCGGCGGACGGGUGAGUAACACGUGGGUAACCUGCCCAUAAGACUGGGAUAACUCCGGGAAACCGGGGCCAAUACCGGAUAACAUUUUGAACCGCAUGGUUCGAAAUUGAAAGGCGGCUUCGGCUGUCACUCAUGGAUGGACCCGUGUCGCAUUAGCCAGUUGGUGAGGUAACGGCUCACCAAGGCAACGAUGCGUAGCCGACGUGAGAGGGUGAUCGGCCACACUGGGACUGAGACACGGCCCAGACUCCUACGGGAGGCAGCAGUAGGGAAUCUUCCGCAAUGGACGAAAGUCUGACGGAGCAACGCCGCGUGAGUGAUGAAGGCUUUCGGGUCGUAAAACUCUGUUGUUAGGGAAGAACAAGUGCUAGUUGAAUAAGCUGGCACCUUGACGGUACCUAACCAGAAAGCCACGGCUAACUACGUGCCAGCAGCCGCGGUAA